GACGAACGCGGGCGGCGUGCUUAACACAUGCAAGUCGAACGAAGAGCGACGGAAGCUUGCUUCUAUCAAUCUUAGUGGCGAACGGGUGAGUAACGCGUAAUCAACCUGCCCUUCAGAGGGGGACAACAGUUGGAAACGACUGCUAAUACCGCAUACGAUCUAAUCUCGGCAUCGAGGAUGGAUGAAAGGUGGCCUCUACAUGUAAGCUAUCACUGAAGGAGGGGAUUGCGUCUGAUUAGCUAGUUGGAGGGGUAACGGCCCACCAAGGCGAUGAUCAGUAGCUGGUCUGAGAGGAUGAACGGCCACAUUGGGACUGAGACACGGCCCAGACUCCUACGGGAGGCAGCAGUGGGGAAUCUUCCGCAAUGGACGAAAGUCUGACGGAGCAACGCCGCGUGAGUGAUGACGGCCUUCGGGUUGUAAAGCUCUGUUAAUCGGGACGAAAGGCC
rnacentral:rRNA from 1 species